AGCAGCCGCGGUAAUUCCAGCUCCAAUAGCGUAUAUUAAAGUUGUUGCAGUUAAAAAGCUCGUAGUUGAAUUUCGAGACCGGUUUACUGGUCGUGCUUUUGUACGUACUGGUAUUAUUGGUUUCUCCUUUCUGACGAAUCAUAAUGCCAUUAAUUUGGUGUUUUGGGGAAUCAGGACUGUUACUUUGAAAAAAUUAGAGUGUUUAAAGCAGGCUCACGCUUGAAUACAUUAGCAUGGAAUAACGAAAUAGGACGUUUGAUUUUAUUUUGUUGGUUUCUAGGAUCGACGUAAUGAUUAAUAGGGAUAGUUGGGGGCAUUAGUAUUCAAUUGUCAGAGGUGAAAUUCUUGGAUUUAUUGAAGACUAACUACUGCGAAAGCAUUUGCCAAGGAUGUUUUCAUUAAUCAAGAACGAAAGUUAGGGGAUCGAAGACGAUCAGAUACCGUCGUAGUCUUAACCAUAAACUAUGCCGACUAGGGAUCGGAUGAUGUAAUUUUUAAUGACUCAUUCGGCGCCUUACGG
rnacentral:rRNA from 1 species